GUAGUCAUAUGCUUGUCUCAAAGAUUAAGCCAUGCAUGUCUAAGUAUAAGCAACUUGUACUGUGAAACUGCGAAUGGCUCAUUAAAUCAGUUAUCGUUUAUUUGAUAGUACCUUACUACAUGGAUACCUGUGGUAAUUCUAGGGCUAAUACAUGCUAAAAACCCCGACUUCAGGAAGGGGUGUAUUUAUUAGAUAAAAAACCAACGCCCUUCGGGGCUCCUUGGUGAAUCAUAAUAACUUAACGAAUCGCAUGGCCUUGCGCCGGCGAUGGUUCAUUCAAAUUUCUGCCCUAUCAACUUUCGAUGGUAGGAUAGUGGCCUACCAUGGUGGCAACGGGUAACGGGGAAUUAGGGUUCGAUUCCGGAGAGGGAGCCUGAGAAACGGCUACCACAUCCAAGGAAGGCAGCAGGCGCGCAAAUUACCCAAUCCCGAUACGGGGAGGUAGUGACAAUAAAUACUGAUACGGGGCUCUUUUGGGUCUCGUAAUUGGAAUGAGAACAAUUUAAAUCCCUUAACGAGG
rnacentral:rRNA from 1 species